GGCCUCAAAUAAUGUGUGACUACCCCCUAAAUUUAAGCAUGGUACCCGCAAGG
rnacentral:rRNA from 1 species